rnacentral:rRNA from 1 species
CCUACGGGAGGCAGCAGUGAGGAAUAUUGGUCAAUGGGCGAGAGCCUGAACCAGCCAAGUCGCGUGAGGGAGUACUGCCCUAUGGGUUGUAAACCUCUUUUGUCGGGGAGCAAAAGCCGGACGUGUCCGUCUGUGAGAGUACCCGAAGAAAAAGCAUCGGCUAACUCCGUGCCAGCAGCCGCGGUAAUACGGAAGGUCCGGGCGUUAUCCGGAUUUAUUGGGUUUAAAGGGAGCGUAGGCCGGCUUUUAAGUCAGCUGUGAAAGUCCGCGGCUCAACCGUGGAAUUGCGGGUGAAACUGGAGGCC